rnacentral:rRNA from 1 species
CAAUAGCGUAUGUUAAAGUUGUUGCAGUUAAAAAGCUCGUAGUUGGAUUUGUGGUGUACUUCGGCGGCCCGUCACUAUGUGAUGGAGCUUGCUGAAGUCGCCAUCCUUGGGUGGAUCCUGUGUGGCAUUAAGUUGUCGUGCAGGGGAUGCCCAUCGUUUACUGUGAAAAAAUUAGAGUGUUCAAAGCAGGCUUAUGCCGUUGAAUAUGUUAGCAUGGAAUAAUAAGAUAGGACCUUGGUACUAUUUUGUUGGUUUGCGCACCAAGGUAAUGAUUAAUAGGGACAGUUGGGGGUAUUCGUAUUUCAUUGUCAGAGGUGAAAUUCUUGGAUUUUUGAAAGACGAACUACUGCGAAAGCAUUUACCAAGGAUGUUUUCAUUAA